AAUAGCCACAAGACUCGCCUGCACUAUUCUUACUCUGGGUGAGAAUAGAGGUUUUCUCAGAGCCGCCCACACACAAUUGUCAGGUCCUUGGACCAAAGGUGAGAUCUUCUUGGCCAGAGAAUCUUGGCUUGGACCCAACCCUGUAGAUCAACGUUCUCACUACUCUGAGCGUCAAGACCCAACCCAAUGCCACCAAGCCAGUGUGAGUCAGCAGUGGACGCCGCCAGACCAGCCACGUCCACUCAGGGAAGUUGACGACAAUAACUUGACGACACGACCGGCGUCAGCCGCGUCAGCCAUCCAUGGCCAUGACUCGACGAAAUAGCGACAUCAAUUUUGCCGUUGAAACUGAAAGUGACAUUGAACCAGAUGAAAACGAAUCUGAUGAUGAUGUGAGAAGUAAGCACAGAUGACGCGGCAGAUUCCGGAUGCGCUCCAGAUGACAAAAGAGAAAAAGGUUCAUAUGAAUCAUGGUAGGCUUGUAAAGCCCUGCUACCAAAAUGCUCGUCAGGGAGCUUGAAGAUACAAUAGCUAUCAUUGUCUCUGCUAGAAACUUUAUCUCUGCUCAGGCACUCAACCACCACCUCUUCCAGCAGGCCGUCCGUGAAGAAUGAUGCUGCGUACAGCCAUUUCUAUAUGCCUCAUCGUGUCUACCAGCUGCAUUAGGGGAUAACAAUUUCCUGAGUGAAAAAGACAAUUGCUUGGCAGACUACUUCAGCUACUCUUGUCUUCAUUGCCUGGCUUGCGUACAUCAGUGACAUUUUCAGGCACCUGCCGUAAUGCUCUCAGCAUGUCACUUUAAACGAGAAGCCUAACAAUCAUUGUAGCGGAGCAGAUCAACUUGCUUCACCACUUACAUCAAGUAGUGUGGCUUUGGAGCAACAGCAUUGAGAAGUUUCAUGAUUCUAAUUGAAGACAUCGGCAACUGCAACAUGCUCUAAGAUGACCCGAUUGAGGUGAAGGCUUCUACACCACUAAAGAUGCGGUUCUCUACCAUCAAUAAUCCUUGCUUUACUUUGUGGUGAAAACGGUGGUCCAGAUGACACAAACUGCCUCUGCAAACAUGGUUCCCUGUCUUGGUUGUCAUUAAAACAAAGCUGCAGGCUCGUCUUGACGUCGGACCCAUCAUGAGGUUGGCCUCAUCCAAGACUGCUUGGAGGAUCAGAUACCUCUUAUUAUAGGAAAAACAAGAACAUUCGUUUGACUGUAUGAAAUAGAUGAUGAAUGCUUGAUAUAA